rnacentral:rRNA from 1 species
UUAAGAACCUGGCGGCAGGCCUAACACAUGCAUGUCGAACGCUCGUAGCAAUACGAGAGUGGCAGACGGGUGAGUAACGCGUGGGAACCUUCCCAGUGGUACGGAAUAGCUCAGGGAAACUUGGGGUAAUACCGUAUAAGCCCUUCGGGGGAAAGAUUUAUCGCCAUUGGAUGGGCCCGCGUCGGAUUAGCUAGUUGGUGGGGUAACGGCUCACCAAGGCGACGAUCCGUAGCUGGUCUGAGAGGAUGAUCAGCCACACUGGGACUGAGACACGGCCCAGACUCCUACGGGAGGCAGCAGUGGGGAAUAUUGGACAAUGGGCGCAAGCCUGAUCCAGCCAUGCCGCGUGAGUGACGAAAGCCUUAGGGUUGUAAAGCUCUUUUGGCGGGGAAGAUAAUGACGGUACCCGCAGAAUAAGCUCCGGCUAACUUCGUGCCAGCAGCCGCGGUAAUACGAAGGGAGCUAGCGUUGUUCGGAAUCACUGGGCGUAAAGCGCACGUAGCGGAUGUGUCAGUCAGGGGUGAAAUCCCGGAGCUCAACUUCGGAACUGCCUUUGAUACAGCACGUCUUGAGUCCGGAAGAAGUGGGUGGAAUUCCUA